rnacentral:lncRNA from 1 species
UUUUUUUUUUUUUUUUGUAAUUUAGUGAUAGAUGAAGGAAGACUGAGCCCAUUGUGUGUGGUGCCAUCUUUGGGGAGAUGGUCCUUGUAUAAGAAAGCAGGCUGGGCAAACGAUGGGCAAAGAGCCAAUAAUUAGCACCCAUCCCUGUCCUCUCGCUCAGAAUCUGAAUCCAAGCUCCCAUUCUGUUUGAAUUGGGGCCCUGGUUUCCUGCUGUGGUGGACCUUUUCCUGGAAGUGUAAGAUGAACUCAACCCUCCCCUUCCCUUCCCAGGUUGCUUUUGAUGGAGAUGCUUUGGCGCAGCAGUAGAAACCCCAACUAAGAUCGUGCUUAUGUCAGAUUGGUUUCGUGAUAGAAUCGGAUCUGGACAGCAGUUUCCUUCAAUAAACGUCAGUGGAGCACCUUCUGGGUCCCUGGCAUGGAUGGACAGCAUCCCAAGAGGACUUUAGGUUGCCAUAUGAUUUGUUUCUCAACCAGCAUAUGAACUUUCCCAAGAUGAGGCAGGCCUUUUCAGUGUUACGCCCAAAUCCCAAAUCUAGGUGCAGAGUGCACAGCCAAAUCUCACCAAGCCUUCGUCUUCCUGAUAGAACAUGCUCGAUUUUAGCUGACUUCAUUCAGAAGUAGGAAUCAGAUACUAGUUGGCACAGCAGAAAAAAAAAAAAAAAAAAAAAAACCCAAAUCACCCUCUGGCAAGGAAGGCGUUAUGCAACUGCCUUAGAAGUAAAUUUACCUUCUUAAUUAUGGAUGCCUGUGGCUAUAAUUACAGAUAAGUAGCAUUUCCCACGUCUAAUCUUCUUCCUGCUUCCUUCUCUGAGCCCAUCGGGGUAACUCUCCUGGGCCUUCUAUUUAAUUCUCAGAGGUAGUGAGACAGAUUGAACGAACUUGCCUGACCGGAAGCUCAAAGGCAUCAGAGGUGGGGAGGGACAACACCGCUGAAGAAUCACCAUGUGGAACAGGGAAGCUUUGCUGACCUGCAGCGUCAGACUUCCAGACUGUCUCAACGUAGAGUGGCUUCCUGAGUCCUCCCGCCCUUCCUGGGGUUGUUCUGCAUUCAAUGGGUCAUGAGGCAGGCAUGCAAAACUUAUAUGAGCCGUGCCAGGCAGGUAUCACCCUGGAGUUCCAGAACAGGUGAAUAAACUUUCUCAGGCCUAAAUUAUAAACCAUUGUGUCCGGGGGCCGGAUUCCUGCAAAUACCCUAUUGGCUUCAGAAGUGUUGGUUCCUAUUAGACACAGAACAUUCUUGUCUUCUAAAAACAAACAAACAAACAAACAAACAAACCCCAAGCCUGUGGACAGAGGUUGGGAAGGUGAAGAGUAGGCCCUCUGUAGAUCCUGACAGCUUGGAAACUGAUCAUUUUCCAUGCCACGACUCUGAGCCCUUGUUCCAGUGGUUGACUAAGCAUGGCAGCGGUACACAGAGGUGCCGGCUCCAACCUCCAAAAGGCCUGACAGAAGCAACCCCACAUCUUUGUUCAGGGAAAAGACUUUACUUUCUAUCACACCCGACAGAGGAUCUUACUGUUUCUCUCCUCAGGCAUUUUCUGUUCUUUUGAUACCUUUUGCCUCCUGCCUGAACCCUGGAUGUAAUUCCCUUGCACAAAGCCCUCUGAAGAUGCUUAUAAAACUUGGAGCCAAGUCAAUCUACUUAAGCUCUACCUUUGCUUGGUCUCUUUAAGUUUAUCUCUCACAGCCCAGGUAGCUCAGCACUUCUCCUGCUCCUCACUUCGGCUCCUAAGAGGCCGAGAGGGCUUUCCCUGUUGCCUUGGCCCUCAGGGUUGGCAAAUGAAACAGUACCUACCAGCUCUGCGCUUUCUAAAGAGAGCCACCAGCUUUCUGGGGCCAAUUGAGAUGUGGCUAAGCAUACUCUGCUGUUUCCAGCAACCACCUCACCCUGCUCUCCCUGCUCCAGCCCACCCAGUCUCAGGAGAAGCAAGAAGAGAAGCAAAGAGAUGCUGAGGGAUUGUGAGGGCCAGCAGUAGGGUGUUCUGUCUUUGAGGGGGCAGUGAUACUUGCUUCACCGCACACUGCUGUGCUCUGAGAACCACAUCUCACCAUUCUAAAAAGAGAGGAUUUUGUGUGUGUGUGUGUGUGUGUGAACAUGGCUAUAGGUGUUUUAAAAUGAAUUUGCAUGUUAGAACAAUAUAUUGAUAAAAACAGAUUUAAAUUAAAUUUUAGAACUUAAGCUGGGUGGUGCUGGUGGCAGCCUUUAAUCUCAGCCCCUAGGAGACAGAGACGGAUGGAUCUCUUCAAGUUCAAGGGCAGCCUGGUGUACAAAGUGAGUUCUAGGACAAUGAGGUGCUAUAUAGAAAAACCAUGCCUAGAAACAAACAAACAAACAAACAAACAAAAUUUAAAACUUAAAAUGGUUCUUGGAUUCUGUUGUCUAAACGUAAAUGAUAACCAAAAACUUGAAAUUCAAGGGAUUGCUGAACUUAAAAAUGAGUAUUUCCUCACCCUGGGAGGGGAGGGGCAUGGGACACAGACUUUAACUCUUUUAUGGCCUGGGCCAAGUUGGAAUGUUGACACUUGGUUUGGCUGCACACAGUUUAUUGGAAGAAAUAGUAAGCCAAGUGCCUUGGAAAUGAUCAAGGGCAUACAUCCACCCAUCAUAUGCGUCAUAUCACCCUGGUUCCUUCACAUGCUCAAUGAAGAUAGGGAAGAUGGGAAGAAGGUCAUGGGGAUGUGGAUAUACGCUGUCUGGGUUUGAGGUCAGAUCCAUAGCAUGCUAGAUUAGGGACUUUGGGUGAGUCACUUAAUGGUUUUACAAUUCAUGUCCCUUAUUGUAAGAUGAGCCUAGUAACACACCGCUUUUGGUGUAACUGACGGGACUGGAUAAGUUAACACGUGUAAGAUACUUGGAAUGGUAGUGCAUGGUGCCAUGCCUCUGAUUAUUGCUUGCUGUCUGUGCUAAAGUUAAUGGAAGAAAAAGAUAUAUUCAUAAAGCCUUAGUACUGGGACUGGAGAGAUGGAUCAGUGGCUAAGAUUACUUCAUCCUCUUGCAGAGGACAGUGUGGUGCCCGGGACUCACAUUGCACUGUUCAUACUUGCCUGAAAUUCCAGUUUUCAAUUCCUCUUUCUGAAUCCACACACUUAUGAUACACAUACAAUUAAGCAGGCACACAUAAAUAAAUGAAAUUAUUUAUUUUUAUAAAACACAUUUAUUUAUAUAACACAUAAAUAAAAUAAAGGUUUUUUUUUUUAAACCAUUAAGGUUGGUGGACAUGGUGGCGCACACUUGUAAUCCUAGCAAUUGGAGUUGCUGAAAUAGGGAAAGUGUAGACAAAGUUCGAGGCCAGCAUGGGCUACAAAGUGAGAGUCUGUCUCAAAACAAAUCAACUCUUUGACUUCAAAUAAAGCAUACAUC